rnacentral:tRNA from 1 species
AGGCUUGUAGCUAGGUGGUUAGAGCGCACCCCUGAUAAGGGUGAGGUCGGUGGUUCAAGUCCACUCAGGCCUACCA